AACGAACGCUGGCGGCAUGCCUAACACAUGCAAGUCGAACGAGACCUUCGGGUCUAGUGGCGCACGGGUGCGUAACGCGUGGGAACCUGCCCUUAGGUUCGGAAUAACUCCCCGAAAGGGGUGCUAAUACCGGAUAAUGUCUUCGGACCAAAGAUUUAUCGCCUUUGGAUGGGCCCGCGUUGGAUUAGCUAGUUGGUAGGGUAAAAGCCUAUCAAGGCGACGAUCCAUAGCUGGUCUGAUAGGAUGAUCAGCCACACUGGGACUGAGACACGGACCAGACUCCUACGGGAGGCAGCAGUGGGGAAUAUUGGACAAUGGGCGAAAGCCUGAUCCAGCAAUGCCGCGUGAGUGAUGAAGGCCUUAGGGUUGUAAAGCUCUUUUACACGGGAUGAUAAUGACAGUACCGGGAGAAUAAGCUCCGGCUAACUCCGUG
rnacentral:rRNA from 1 species